AUUUAAAUAAUUUAAAAAAAAAUAUUGAUUUGUGGUGUCAAAAAUAUGAGAAUUCAUUUUAAAUU
rnacentral:tRNA from 1 species